rnacentral:ribozyme from 1 species
CUGAUGACGGAGGUCGCCUUGCAGAUUGUUUGGCCGUCGACUUGGAUGUGCACUACUCUAUCCCAGAUGGCAUCGCCAUUGAAAGUGUAUUGCAUGGGGUCGAAGCUUCCACUACUUCGACUCGUUU